AUGCCGCCGCUGAUCGACGACGCCACCGUCGAGAUCCUCCUCCGCCUCCCGCCGGACGAGCCCGAGCACCUCUUCCGCGCCGCCCUCGUGUGCAAGCGGUUGCUCCGCAUCAUCUGCGACCCCGGCUUCCUCCGCAGCUACCUCGCCUUCCACGGCGCCCCUCCCCUCCUGGGCCUCCUUCACAGGCUCAUGCUCUCCCAAUUGGGCCCACCAGCCCCUCGCUUCGCCUCUGCCACGUCCAUGCCCAACUUUCCCUACCCGGGCUCCGACGACCGCCUUGUGACUCCCCUCGAUUGCCGCCACGGCCGCAUCAUCUCCUACCUGAGGCAGGACGAUGGUUUGUAUUACCAUGUCUGGGACCCCGUCACGGGAGACUGCCACGUCGUGCCCAUAGCGGGCAUCGAUUGGCUCAUCUAG
rnacentral:rRNA from 1 species